GGUUGAUUUUACUAGGAAUAUCAAUGUUCUUUGCUUGAAUGGGGUUCAAGAGGCCGCUGGUUCGAAUCCAGUCACUCGGACCA
rnacentral:tRNA from 1 species